rnacentral:rRNA from 1 species
CACGUAGGGCGCAGCGUUGUCCGGAAUUAUUGGGCGUAAAGAGCUCGUAGGCGGUCUGUUGCGUCCGCUGUGAAAACUCGGGGCUUAACCCCGAGCCUGCAGUGGAUACGGGCAGACUAGAGGUAGGUAGGGGAGAAUGGAAUUCCCGGUGUAGCGGUGAAAUGCGCAGAUAUCGGGAGGAACACCGGUGGCGAAGGCGGUUCUCUGGGCCUUACCUGACGCUGAGGAGCGAAAGCGUGGGGAGCGAACAGGG